GUAGGGAAUAUUGGGCAAUGGAUGCAAGUCUGACCCAGCCAUCCCGCGUGCCGGAAGAAGGCCCUCAGGGUUGUAAACGGCUUUUGACGGUGAAGAAUCGACAGGAUGCGUCCUGUUUUGACGGUAGCCGUUGAAUAAGCACCGGCUAACUCCGUGCCAGCAGCCGCGGUAAUACGGAGGGUGCGAGCGUUGUCCGGAUUUAUUGGGUUUAAAGGGUGCGUAGGCUGGAAGGUCAGUCAGCGAUGAAAAGCUGUCGCUUAACGAUAGUCUUGCCGCAGAUACUUCCUUUCUUGGAUGAGGAGGAGGCCACUGGAACGGAUGGUGUAGCGGUGAAAUGCAUAGAUAUCAUCCAGAACACCGAUUGCGAAGGCAGGUGGCUGUACCUUAAUCGACGCUGAUGCACGAAAGCAUGGGGAGCAAACAGGAUUAGAAACCCUAGUAGUCC
rnacentral:rRNA from 1 species